UCAUUAUAAUAUUAUAAAAUGUUGAUGUAGUCUCACUGCAUUCUAUGUAUUUGUGCUGUGAGAUUUUCUAAAUUUCAUAAAUAUUUCACAAGCACCUAUUUAAAACCUAACGUGUUAAAGCCACUCUGCUAUGUAUAGCAAAAAGAGGAAUAGUACUAGGACUUCUAAUUUAUAAUCUAAAAGGAGGUUAUAGGAAAAAAUAAGUAUUAUGUAAGCCCAAAUGUGAUCUCUAAGAAGAUUAACUAACCUUACAAAUAUUUCAUUUCAGUGCACAUUCCCACAUUUUAGGUAAUCUAGAAAUGCAUCACUGAAGUUCUCAACAUAGACUGUGAUGAAAGGACAUCAUUUGAAUUGUAAACAGAUAUGGGAUAUUUGAAGGGGGUAAGGGGAUGGUGGAUAGAUUCUCUGUGGAGAGACCCAUAUGAGGAAAAGGAUGAAGCUGAGGAGUGAGACAUGAUGAGUGUCUUUCAGUAGAUCAUUUUGAAUAUAGGGCAGAAUUCAUUAGGAGAAAUAGGAGGGAAGAGACUUCAGAGUGCAGAUGAUGUUUGUUUGAAAGGACCUCAAAUUAUGCAAGAGUGAACAAAUGCUGGGUGAGGAAGAUUGAGAUAGACUUAGUGUAUAUAUGUAUGUAAUAUGAAUAUGCACAUGGACAAAUGAACGUAUGUUUAUGUAUGUAUACAGAGCUAGAUGUGCGUAUACUGUGUAUCCACAUGACACAGUAGCAAUGAAAAUGAUGACAAUCCACUUAAAGUUAUUUAAGAGUGAUUCGAUGUAAUACCAAAUGAAGGGGAUGUGUAACUAUAAUUCUGCAAAUCACAGAGGUAGGUAGGUAUGAAAGUGAGGGUCACAGUGGUAACAGUAAGAAUGUACCUAGAAUAAGUUGUGAGACAAUAGAAAGGGUAGACCUGAAGAUGCACUACUCAUUAUUCUUAAAGAGUGUGAUGAAAAUUAACAUUUAAGGACUUUAGGGAAGAAACCUUCAAACUCUUCUUCAUUGUCGUGUAUUUCGCAGCUGAGCACUAUGAUAUAUCAUCUUAACAUAAUUUGAACUUUUGUAAUGUGUAUUUAAAGCACCUUGUUGUCAACAACACAUUCCAAUAACUAUUACUGAUCACUAAUUUCUUUAUCUUAUGAGCUUCAUUUUGUUAAUUCUAGGAAGAUUGACCAUUUUUCUCCCCUUCUGCCAUUUCCUUUUUCUUUUUGAUACCUAUCCAGUUUACAUCUUCAGUCUAAUCUGUUGGCUUUCUGGAUUAGUGAAAUUUGUCACAUUGACCUACAAUAUACAAACAUAGCUAGAAAGGACAUUACAGAAAUCACAUAGUGAGAGGCAACUCUCCUCUUGCUUUUCUCUAAGAAACACACUAAAUUAAGAGCAUUUCUUACAGUGUAGCUAUUUUCAUUGCCUUAACUUGCAUGUCAUUUUGCCCUCAUUGAUUUCCUGUUUGUAUUUAUUUCUCUAUGUGGUAUGGUGUAAUCCCCACAAGAAGUGAAAUUUAUCAUUCCCCAAAUAACAUGGACUAUAAGACCAUUUGAUGGGUAGCAGAAUUCCAGGGAAUUGCCUCUAUCCAUUUAAAUACAAACUGCCUCCAUGUGGAGUUAAAUGUUAUAUCUGUCUCUUGGCUGUUUGGCUGUAGAAAUAUCAAAGAUAUCAUAAGCAAGUAUUGUUCAGAGGAACAGCACUAUUUCAGUACUUAAUGUAUUUAUAAAUCCAAAUUGAAUGGCACACAGGUCUGUAAAAUACUUUCAUUAUUGUGUUAUGUUCUAAUUAUUUUAGUAUGAUACAAACACUUAAGAUGUAGUUGUUUUAAGGAAUUUAUUAGGUACUGACAUUUUAAGUCAAUAAAAGAAUAAGACGACUAUAAAUUCAAACACUUUGGGCAAUAAUCAACACAUAGCAACAUCUAAUCUGCACAAUGUUGCAUUGUUUUAAUGAAAGGAGAACAUAUGUCAGUAUGAAAUCUAAACAUUUCUCUUUAACAUUUUUGUUACGGAAUCUAUGACUUUCUUGUUUCUCAGGCUGUAGAUAAUUGGAUUUAAGAAAGGAAUUAUGACAGCGUAAAAUAAAGAGUCCAUCAUAUCUUGAUCAUUUUCUUCUGCAGAUCCAGGCAGCACAUACAUGAAGAGAAGAGGCCCAUAGUAUAAAGAGACAGAUAGGAGGUGGGCUCCACAGGUGGAGAAGGUCUUCCUUAUGCCUUGCAUGGACUUCUUUUUUAAUAUUGUAAAGAGAACAAGUGUAUAAGAGGCAAGAACAACAGAAAUGGUGAAUAUCUGUAUUAUCCCAGCAAAGAUUAAUACCAUCAUAUAGUUAAUGGAAGGGUCAGUACAGGAUAUCUUAAACAGUGGUAUAAUGUCACAGUAAAAGUGAUGUAUGAUGAUGGAAUUACAGAAAGUUAAUCUUAGUAAAAAAACAUUAUGAAUUAUAGCAUGAGACAGGCCACCUAAAAAUGAUAAAAUUAACAGCCGGAUACAUAGUCUAUUGGUCAUAAUCACUGGAUAUAGUAAUGGUUUGCAUAUGGCCACAUAGCGAUCAUAUGCCAUAGUUGCCAACAGAAAACAUUCCGUGGUUGCACAGAUUGCAAAGGAAAAAAAUUGUAUCUUACAUUCAGAAAGGGAGAUCAUUUUACUCUUGGAAAAGAAAUUGACCAGCAUGUUGGGGGUCACUGUGGAUGAUAACCAAGUAUCCACAAAGGCCAAGUUUCCAAGGAAUAAGUACAUGGGGCUGUGAAGGUGAGGGUCAUUGCAGAUGAGAGCAAUCAGACCAAGGUUUCCAAUGAGAGUGAUGAGGUAUAUAAUCAAGAAGAGCAGGAACAGGGGGAUUUGCCACUCUGACUGAUACUUAAGUCCUGUGAGAACAAACUCUGUCAGUUCUGUUGCAUUUUUUGUUUCCAUGUGCUUAAUAAAUGACCUCUGAAAUACAAUGCAAUAAAAGGAAAAAUAACAUUGAUAUACAAUUUUAAAAAGAAAAUUUUGUGAGGGUAAUAUAAAGUGUAGCAUAGCCUGUAUGCAUUUUAUUUGAUUUACUCUUACCAAAAAUAUAAAAAGUAUUUGCAGAAAUUGCUACACUGGAAAAAUGUGAUUGUUUUGCUUCAAAAUAUAUACAGGGAUGGACAGAUGUAGAAGAGAAGAAAGACAUUCUGAACGUGAGCAAAUUUAUGGGAAAAUUUUUAAAUUAGGUAGAGAAGUUUUAUGUUUAAGACAUGAAUAUAGUGUCAAAAGUAAGAGGUUAGAAGAACCUGGAUUAUAUAAUAUAUCGAAUGCCAUGUGAAGGAUCUUGAACAUUACUCUUUAUGGAUAGGCAUUCAUUGAAAACUAAAACAGGGAGCAGCAGCAUGACUUAUUUUUGAAAUUACGUAUUUGGUUGAUAGAAACAGGCUGCAGGGAGAAGAACCUGGUGUCAGAAACACUAAUCAGGACUGGGAUUUGUCUAGUGAUUUCUAAACCAUAUUACACGUCAGAAUUGUCUGGUGGAGUUUUGGUCAAAAUAUAGAUUCUGAGGUAUUACCGUGAAAAUUGAUUCAGUAGGUUAUGAAUGUUGACUGCUAAUAUUCAUGUUAUAAAUACUCCUCAGGUGACUAAAAGGUAUUUUAAGUUCUUUGUGUAAUACCACAUUUAGUGUUUUGAGGAAGACAAAGAGAUCAAAAUAAAUUAGAAUGUGAAGUCACUAGGAUCUGAUGACAUAUGAGAUAUGAAGGGUGUUUAGUAAAGGAGAGUGUAACGUGGUAGCUUGGAAGAGUAAUCACAAGUUGAGAUUGAGAACUCAGGUGCAGUAUCCAGUUUUUGCAAGGAGCAAUCACUGAACCACCAGAUAACAUAAACUUAGCAGUAUCAUUCAACAAGGGUUUAAUAGAAAUAAUGACUAGGAAGUCACUGAGGUGGCUGAAAUGCAGUAUAUAUGACUAACCCACUGGAAACUGUUCAUAUUGUUAAAACAAGGAGGCAUGAAAACAAAGAUGAGGAAGUUAUACUAAAGAGAUUGAAAAUGGGUAUAUACAAUUCAUCAGAUAAAGAACAUUGAUCACCUUUUCUACCACAAGUGAUAUUAUUGUCAGAAUUGGAAAAAGGAUAGAAAGUUGACUAUUUAAGUGAUGUGACUGAAAAUUUAAUCAGAGGAUUUUCCUGGUGGGCUAGCAGUUAAGAAUCCAUUGUUGUUACUGCUGUGGUGCAGGUUUGAUCCCAGGAACUUCCACAUGCCAUGGACAUGGCCAAAAAUUAUAAUCAGAGAAUGUGGUUAAUUUAGUUGAGUAAAUAUUUUGAAUGAAAAUAUAUGGUUUCUUACACAGUAAACAUUAUGACCUAAAUCUCUGAACCCCUUUAAUUUGAUUAAUGUUCUAGUUCAUCAAAACAUAUCCUAUGGAGUCAUUAUGAUUAAUCUAAUCAGAUAAUUAUUUAUCAUUAAAGAGAUAGUCUUAGAGAUAUUUUGCUUAUCCAGAUUUUACUUAUAAUGAUAAAAUUUACAGAUUAUUCACUAUUUUCCAUUUUCAACUUGGCUUUUUUAUGUCUUGUAAAGCAGAUCAAAAUUAUUAUAAACGUAACAGUGUUUUAACUUUCCAUUAAAAGUAUUGAAUAUUAUAGAAAUCUUUUUCUCUUACCAGUAUAUAUUAAGAAUUUGUAGGUAUCCUUUUGUCACUUGCUUUCUGAAGUAGAAAAUAAUACAAGAACACUGGAAUACCAGUAACACAGGCAGCAAUAUUUUAUACACAAAUUCACUUUGGAGGCUUCAUUAUCCAGGCUUAGGAAAAAAGUUUACCUGAAUUUGUUUUGAAUACAAGAGUCAACCAAUUGUACAACUGUGUGAUUUUGCCAGAAGAGAAAGGAGUAAAGAACUGAAAUUCCCCUGAGAGCACUCAUGGACUCCCAUUAGGACAAAGCUAAGCUGUCCUUCUGGGCAUUGGGGCCUUGGACAUGUAUGAGAAAUCCAGGUAGUUCGUCAGGGCAUUAUAGGCUCUGAAAUCAUAAUCAGUAUUCAUUGUAGAGAGUUCCAUCUUAUCAAUUGAAAUUAUAUUUUAUGCUUCCACUUUGUACUGCAAAUGGCACAUCUGAUAUGUUUAUGCAAGCUCCAGUGUAUCUGUAAAGUUUUGUACUGUUUGGACUUUGAUCAGUAUUACCUUGUCCAAGCUAAUCACAUGUGAUUUUAGUGAGGCCAAUGGUUUUGAUUCCCUCUAAACUCCAACUGCAAGAAAGUUGACCUUCCCAUGUUAACUCCCAUUUCAGUUCUGUAUCAUCAAAAAGCCUAUAUCAUUGGAGAAGCACAACAUGGUAAAUGUGAUUUGCAAACAGAGAAGCAGCAGGAGCCAGAUGUGAUCAGGGAGGUGAGGAUAGGUGGUUAACACAGGGUCUGGAGGUUAUGUCAUAGUAACUAGCCCCAUUUAGUGUAAAACUAUUCAAGGAUUUUGGGCAUGGUGGUAACAAAUUCAGAUUUGCCUUUUGUAUAAAAGCAGAGAAAAUUGUCAAUGAAUUCAGGAAAAUAAAACAAUUUACUUCUUUGUGAUAUUUUCUUGUUACAUAUCAGUUAAAAAAAAGUGUUUAACUUCUACUUCAGACUUCCUGGUUAGGUAGGAGGAGUCUAUCAUCAUUUUGAUAGACUGCUUUAUCACUUACCCUGCAUCCUUACAAUUUUGCUGAUGAAAGCCAAAUUAGAGGGAAUUCAUUUAGAAGAGAGAUUGUUGUGAAAAGUGCAUAGAAGAGUGGAGUGGGGAAUCUGGUGUGCAGAGGUAGCUUCGACAUAACCAACACUUGACUAAAAUUUACUCUCCCCUCCAAUUUUUUGUAAUUGCCUGCUGAUAUGUUUGGCUGCCUAUCUAUGAGUACAAAGGCCUGUACUGCUAUGUCCAAUAUGGGUAUUCUUUUCAUUUUUAGGCUUUUUUUUUUUUACAAGUAAUGAGCUUUUAUUCUCUGACUACAGUUUUUUAAAUUGUUAUUUCCUUGAUACAUUUUUUUUCUACCAUACAGCAUGGUGACCCAGUUAUACAUACAUGUAUAGGUUCUUCUUUAUAGGUAUUUUAAUUAAUACCCCACUGUGCUUUCAUUUGCAUUUCCCUAGUGACUAAUAAUAUAGAGUAUCUUUUUUUGCAUCUUUUUGAAAUCCGUAUGUCUUUUUUAGUAGAAUUUUUGUUCAAAUAUUUUGCCCAAUUUUUAAUUGAGUUAUGUUUCUUUUUAUUUUGAGUUUUGGGAGUGCUUCCAUACAUCCUGGAUACAAGCCUUGUAUGAGAUAUAUGACUUGUAAAUAUUGUAAUACACCACACUAGCCUGUUAUAUUUGAUAACAUCAUGCUGAUUGGUUUAUUGAGCAAGAGGUAAUACUCACUGGUAAGAUAUUUUCAGGAGGUUUAAAAAAACAAAAAUUUG
rnacentral:lncRNA from 1 species